AUUGAACGCUAGCGGGAUGCUUUACACAUGCAAGUCGAACGAGUCGGGGACGGAUGGGUAAUAUACCGGAACGUGCCCAGGAGCGAGGUAUAACUACUCGAAAGAGAGGCUAAUACCGCACUCUACUGGCGCGGCCGAUAUCGGAUUAGCUAGUUGGUGGGGUAAAGGCUCACCAAGGCAACGAUCCGUAGCUGGUGUGAGAGGACGACCGGCCACACUGGGACUGAGACACGGCCCAGACUCCUACGGGAGGCAGCAGUGGGGAAUUUUGGACAAUGGGGGAAACCCUGAUCCAGCCAUCCCGCGUGUGUGAGAAGGCCUUCGGGUUGUAAAGUACUUUUGGCAGAGAAGCGGUAUCUGCAGAAUAAGCACCGGCUAACUACGUGCCAGCCGCCGCGGUAAUAC
rnacentral:rRNA from 1 species